rnacentral:rRNA from 1 species
UACAGAGGGUGCAAGCGUUGUCCGGAAUUAUUGGGCGUAAAGAGCUCGUAGGCGGUUUGUCGCGUCUGCUGUGAAAACUCGGGGCUUAACUCCGGGCCUGCAGUGGGUACGGGCAGACUAGAGUGCGGUAGGGGAGACUGGAAUUCCUGGUGUAACGGUGGAAAUGCGCAGAUAUCAGGAGGAACACCGGUGGCGAAGGCGGGUCUCUGGGCCGUAACUGACGCUGAGGAGCGAAAGCGUGGGGAGCGAACAGG